rnacentral:lncRNA from 1 species
AAAUCCCAAAGUGAAAAUGACAAGAUAGCAUUGUGACAUUGACUUACAAAGGCAUAAGGAAUCUAUAGAUGCCCCUACAUGUCAGCUCCCAAGGCAAAUAUUGCAGCUGUCGUACCCAACAUCCAAGAGCUGAGUAGAUUUCGUCAAAACCUCGAUUCACUGCAAUGCUUAUGGAAACAGCUGUUCUAGGUAUUUGGUAUGAGUUGGGUACUGAAGCUGCUAAAAUGGUACAGAAUUUCCAGAUUAGCCCUGUGUGAACUACUGCCAAUCCUCCCUCUUUUUGCUGAGGAAGACUGGCCCUGAGCUAACAUCCGUGACCAUCUUCCUCUACUUUAUAUGUGGGACGCCUACCGCAGCGUGGCUUUUGCCAAGCGGUGCCACGUCUUCACCCGGGAUCCGAACCUGCAAACCCCGGACUGCCGAGAAGCAGAAUGUGUGAACUUAACCGCUGUGCCACCAGGCCGGCCCUCAAUAAAUAUUAACGGGACGAGUCAAUAAAUAGUUUCUUCCACAGAAGAGUUGAGUCACAUUUCCUUGUCUAAAUAAAGAGUUUUCUGUAAUGCUUAUUUGGCUCACUUUUGACUUCACUUGUAUUCUGCACCAAGGCUUACGGCCUGGGGUAGACUGGGGGACAAAAUCCGAC